AAUAUUCUGCGGUGUUCGUUAGUCCGAAUAAUUCAACCGACGUAGUAGAUAAGGGAGUUCGAGUUUAGCAGUCUAGAACAGGCCUAUAUAAUAAUAGGAAGUUCGAAGCUGUUAACAGGGCACCCACCUUGUGAGAGGCGGGUGUGAAUUAGUCGGAUAACGGCAUUGCGGGAUGCAA
rnacentral:other from 1 species